UCUCUCUCUCUCUCUCUCCUUUUUGGGUAUUGUUUUAAAUGCAUGUUGUGCUUGUUACUCAUGGAGGCAAUUUCACAUCACAUUUUGUAUAUCGACACUUUGUUUUACCAGCUUGUCUUUCAUGCUCUGUCUCUAAGCUCUAAGAAGUUCAUUAACUUGGCACUUGCUGUUUGCACUUUAAAUUUUAUCAACAUUGCAAUGAGAGUCAUUGUUUCUUAUUGCUGCUGCAAUUUCUUUGUUUC
rnacentral:misc_RNA from 1 species